CCCCUUGAAGAUGAAGAACUGGUGUCAUAUAUAAUCUCUGGACUCGAUGUCAACUAUCAUCCUCUUGUAUCCUCCAUCAUAACUUAUACUGAACCCAUGGGCUUCAGUGAUCUGUAUGCAAAAAUCAUGUGCUAUGAUA